rnacentral:rRNA from 1 species
UACGUAGGGUGCGAGCGUUGUCCGGAAUUAUUGGGCGUAAAGAGCUUGUAGGCGGUCUGUCGCGUCUGCUGUGAAAAUCCGGGGCUCAACCCCGGACUUGCAGUGGGUACGGGCAGACUAGAGUGUGGUAGGGGAGACUGGAAUUCCUGGUGUAGCGGUGAAAUGCGCAGAUAUCAGGAGGAACACCGAUGGCGAAGGCAGGUCUCUGAGCCACUACUG